AUUGAACGCUGGCGGCAUUCUUUACACAUGCAAGUCGAACGAGUGGCGGACGGGUGAGUAAUGCUUGGGAAUCUAGCUUAUGGAGUGGGAUAACUACUGGAAACUGUAGCUAAUACCGCGUACCAUAGGAUGUGCCCAAGUGGGAUUAGGUAGUUGGUUGGGUAAAGGCUCACCAAGCCGACCAUGCAUCGCUGGUCUGAGAGGAUGACCCGCCACACUGGGACAGAGACACGGCACAGACGCCUAAGGGAGGCAGCAGUGGGGAAUGUUGGACAAUGGGCGCAAGCCUGAUCGAGCCAUGCCGCGUGUAUGAAGAAGGCCUUCGGGUUGUAAAGGACUUUUGUCAGGGAAGCGGUACCUGAAGAAGAAGCACCGGCUAACUCCGUGACAGCAGCCGCGGUAAUUC
rnacentral:rRNA from 1 species